GAUGAACGCUAGCUACAGGCUUAACACAUGCAAGUCGCGGGGCAGCAUGGGGGUUGCUUGCAAUCCCCGAUGGCGACCGGCGCACGGGUGAGUAACGCGUAUCCAACCUGCCCUUCACCACGGGAUAACCCGGCGAAAGUCGGACUAAUACCGUAUGUUGUCCAUUGACGGCCUCCGAUUUGGACGAAAGGCUUGGCGGUGAGGGAUGGGGAUGCGUCCGAUUAGCCAGACGGCGGGGUAACGGCCCACCGUGGCUACGAUCGGUAGGGGUUCUGAGAGGAAGGUCCCCCACACUGGAACGGAGACACGGUCCAGACUCCUACGGGAGGCAGCAGUGAGGAAUAUUGGUCAAUGGGCGUAAGCCUGAACCAGCCAAGUAGCGUGCAGGAUGACGGCCCUAUGGGUUGUAAACUGCUUUUAUGCGGGGAUAAAGUGGCCCACGUGUGGGCUUUUGCAGGUACCGCAUGAAUAAGGACCGGCUAAUUCCGUG
rnacentral:rRNA from 1 species